rnacentral:rRNA from 1 species
UACGUAGGGGGCGAGCGUUGUCCGGAGUUACUGGGCGUAAAGGGCAUGCAGGCGGUCUGACGCGUUUUGUGUGACAGCGGGUGGCUCAACUACGCGAGCAUACGAAAGACGGUUUGACUUGAGGGCUCGAGAGGGACACGGAAUUCCGGGUGGAGUGGUGAAAUGCGUAGAGAUCCGGAGGAACACCGAAGGCGAAGGCAGUGUCCUGGCGAGUGACUGACGCUGAGGUGCGAAAGCCAGGGGAGCGAACGGG